UCUGAAGAGAUACAGAGCUAGAGAACUUGUCUUGUUAAUCUUGGGAGAGAGGGUGAUUUUGUCUUCUGGAAACUAUCCUCUUGUUAAGGUUUCUUCUCAUCUAUAGAAGAUGAAAAAUUUGGAGGAAGGCAGCAUGUUAUGGUGUCUUCUUUAAGUACAGAAGGUGGAGUCAGGAAAUCUGGACUUCAGUGUCAGCUUUGCCAUUUUCUAGGUUAAGUGACCUUGGGCAAGUCAGUUUAUUAAUCUAGCCUUAGUCUCCUCACAUAUAAGAAGGUAAAGUGAGAUCAGUUUAUAUCCAUUGUCUUAAACAUCUCUACUAUUCAGUAAAUUCUAGAAUUUAUACAACUGGCUGCCCAGGCCAUUUUCCUAGAUUCUAGUCAAUGGGAAAAUCUUCUAGAGGAACUCAGCCCCACAGACAACCUCUCAGGAAAUAGGAGAAGGUGGAGCUCUAAGCUCAGCUCCCCAUCCUCAAAUCAUAAUCCAGGAUUUGCUCUGAAAACCACCAAACAACUCUCCAAGGGAGAAAAAUCCUGGACCUGCUUAAAGACCCCACCCAUCUCAAGAAGGUCCCCACCUCUUUCCCCUGCCAGCCUGCCAUGGAUCUUUCCAAUUUUCCAUCACUUUCUCCAACACUAUGUCAGCUUCUCCCACUUUCAAGGAAGCUUAGUCAUUGAGAAAGGGUUAAUGUUGCUGAAAAGACCCAGUGCUGUCCAAUCAAAACAUUUUCGCUUUUAAAGGCACUGAAAGAGACAGAGGGAAGUCUAGAAAUAAAGUUCAAAGCGGCCAUCUCUAUAAGAUGGUCUCUGAAGCCCAACUAAACUUUAUUUUCCAAAAGCGUAG
ensembl:lncRNA